AAACCAGCACCUCAAGUGGUCAGGAUGAUUAUUGGGCCUAAAGCAUCCGUAGCCUGCUCUGUAAGUUUUCGGUUAAAUCUGUAUGCUCAACAUACAGGCUGCCGGGAAUACUGCACAGCUAGGGAGUGGGAGAGGUAGACGGUACUCGGUAGGAAGGGGUAAAAUCCUUUGAUCUAUUGAUGACCACCUGUGGCGAAGGCGGUCUACUAGAACACGUUCGACGGUGAGGGAUGAAAGCUAGGGGAGCAAACCGGAUUAGAAACCCUGGUAGUCC
rnacentral:rRNA from 1 species